AACGUGGAAUAAUACCUGAUAGUCUCUACGGAGUAAAUGAUGCCUUCGGGUGUCGCUAAAGGAUGGGCUCGCGGCCUAUCAGUUUGUUGGUGAGGUAAAGGCUCACCAAGACUACGACGGGUAGCUGGUCUGAGAGGACGAUCAGCAACACUGGAACUGAGACACGGUCCAGACACCUACGGGUGGCAGCAGUCGAGAAUCAUUCACAAUGGAGGAAACUCUGAUGGUGCAACGCCGCGUGGAGGAUGACGGCCCUAGGGUUGUAAACUCCUGUCAUUGGGGAGUAAGACUUAUGCGUUAAGAGCGUGUAAGUUUGAUAGUACCCAAAGAGGAA
rnacentral:rRNA from 1 species